CACGUCACGCGUCUUUCCGCUUCUCCUUUCUUCUCUAGCCGAUUAGUUUAGCACACGCACCAGCCAAACCACCUGCUUUUCUCCUCCUCCGCCCCCUUCUCCCCCCAUCUUCAGUCUCCACUACUACUCCUCCCCUCCGUCUCUUCUCGAGCAGAUCAAGGGGCGCCAGGAGCAGCAACAAGAUCGCCGGAUCGGCAGCUCGGUUCGUCGCAGGCAAGAGCGGAUGGAGUUCGUGCUGAUCAUAUCCCUGCCGCUCCUCAUCCUGAUCGUGAUCAUCGCCGUCGUCCUCUGCAUCGUGUGCCGCUAGCCAGAUGUCGACGCCAGAACAAUCAGCAGAUCGCCUCUGCUGUGACUGUGAUCAUACCAUAUGUUAAUUAAUCCAUGAUUAUUACAUCAUGAUGACUCGAUUAAAAGAAAGCUCUUCCCCUCCGCCUCUGCUUUCUUCGUUUCAGUCAUUGUGGCGUGAUUAGCUGGCUCCAGCUUUAUUACCUUUGCUGGUGGCAAGCAACAACGACAUUGAUUCCGCGUGUCUACUACAUAUGUGCUGUAAGAAGAACAAUUCCCCAACAGCCUGAUUCAGGGAGAUCGAAUACCUGAAAAAGCCUCGCCCUUU